UACGUAGGUGGCAAGCGUUGUCCGGACUUAUUGGGCGUAAAGCGCGCGCAGGCGGUUUCUUAAGUCUGAUGUGAAAGCCCGCGGCUCAACCGCGGAGGGUCAUUGGAAACUGGGGAACUUGAGCGCAGAAGAGGAGAGUGGAAUUCCACGUGUAGCGGUGAAAUGCGUAGAUAUGUGGAGGAACACCAGUGGCGAAGGCGACUCUCUGGUCUGUAACUAACGCUGAGGCGCGAAAGCGUGGGGAGCAAACAGG
rnacentral:misc_RNA from 1 species